GCUGUAGCUUAGUGGUAGAGUAUCUGCUUUGCUUUCGGAAUAGCCCAGGUUCAAUCCCUGCCAUCUCCA